GAUUUAGGGAUCGUCGUCAUUUUGGGAGCGCCCGCAACACUAUGGAGUGAUGGGUAGACCUCUUCCGCCUGGAUGCAACGGUGGUGGCUUCUCCAACAUCCCUAACCCUACGGGAAGUUCAGCAAAUUUCUCAUCGCAAGGAUGCGCUGAUUCCGCGUUGCAGUUUCUGCAUGCCUGGGUUUGGAAGAAGGGCUCUUUUACCUCCGAGGGAGAAGGCGAUCUAAAUUAGAAGAUUAGUUUAUGUCUCUACUCUGGUAAUGCUUCUUCUCUGUGCCACGAGUGGUUUGUUUGGAAGAGAAUGAGUAAUAUGUUUAUCGGGUGAAGUCCACAGAGAGUUGAGUGUCAAUAAAUAGACAGCUUCACCAGGACAACGUUUAUGAUUCAAUCUAGUUUGCCUUAUUAUUAAUUGUUUAAAGAAAUUGAAUUUUUUUUACCAA